rnacentral:lncRNA from 1 species
AUUCUGUUUAAACUCUACGUCUUCUAACCUUACAAGUUCUCCUUCAUAGUCUGCCCAUCCGUCCUUGAUGAUUUGCCUCCUCUGGUUGCGGUUGCGUCAUUUUCUUACCUGCUUAGAUUCUUAAACGAUAUAGUCAGGGUCAAUAAAAUAACGGCGUACCUUCUUUGAGGGGAAGUGCAUAUGGACUUCUCCGGUUCCAAUGUAGAUAAUUGCUUUAACGGUGCUGAGGAACGGUCUUCCAAGGAUGAUGGGUGGAUCGUACUCGUCUUCUCCCAUGUCAAUAACCUGAAAGUCUGUGUAGACAAAGUGAUCGUCUAUUUUGAUUGGGACAUCAGUUACUGUUCCUUUAACUUCUCGAAAUGUCUGAUCUGCCAUCUAGAGCUGAAUGUAUGUUGGUCUUAGGGGCAUGGUUCCGAACAAGUGCUGAUAUGUGACUGCGGCCAUUAUGUUGAUGCUCGAUCCGGUGUCACAAGUCGUCUUGUAGAAGUUGUAUCCAUUUAUUGAGCAGUAGAUGCUUGGCAUUCCUGGGUCGUCCUUCUUGGUAAAAAACGGUGACUUAAGUUGGUGGUCUUGGCCUCCAUGAACUGCAGUGACCAUCUUAGCUGACUCGGUCCACACUUGCUUGUUCCUGUUCCUCCUGUUGGUCCUCUUCCUUGAUUCACGUCUGGAUUGAUCUGGGAUUUGUGUAGUCUUGUUCUUGAAGAAAAACGUCUCCUUCUUCCCUUUGAUGUAGAAACUGAUCUUGGCAGCACUGGCGUAGAUGACAGCUCCCGCGGUGUUUAAGAAUGGCCUCCCUAAUAUGAUAGGUGCCCUCUCCUCAUUACCGGUCUCUACCACUACAAAGUCUGCUGGGGCAUAUAAGGUACCA